rnacentral:rRNA from 1 species
UACAGAGGUGGCAAGCGUUGUUCGGAAUUACUGGGCGUAAAGGGCGCGUAGGCGCCUUUUAAGUCCCGUGUGAAAGCCCCCGGCUCAACCGGGGAACUGCACGGGAAACUGGAAGGCUUGAGUUCGGGAGAGGGAAGCGGAAUUCCGGGUGUAGCGGUGAAAUGCGUAGAUAUCCGGAGGAACACCGGUGGCGAAGGCGGCUUCCUGGACCGACACUGACGCUGAGGCGCGAAAGCUAGGGGAGCAAACGGG